AUGGAUCAUUCCUCAAGCUGUAAUAGACCCUUUGGUGAAGCUCUUCAAUCAAACCUGAGAAUUCAAGGAGAAUGGAAAAGGGAAAAUGUGAGUACAGAGAAAGUAGCACUGAUUUCCAUCACAAAAAAGAGAUUCUACAGAGCUCUGGAGGAAAGUCACACCACAGCACAGGCAGAUCCUGGGAAAUGCACUGAAUCUGUGGACUGCCUUGGUACUGUUGUAGGCCAAUGUGUCUUGCACCUCUGUGCUGGAAUUCUGUGGGACUCCUCUCCAAACCAAAGUUCCUCAAAAAAGUUUCUAUGUUAG
rnacentral:lncRNA from 1 species